rnacentral:rRNA from 1 species
AGUACAAGGUUUCCGUAGGUGAACCUGCGGAAGGAUCAUUAAAGAAAUUUAAUAAUUUUGAAAAUGGAUUUUUUUGUUUUGGCAAGAGCAUGAGAGCUUUUACUGGGCAAGAAGACAAGAGAUGGAGAGUCCAGCCGGGCCUGCGCUUAAGUGCGCGGUCUUGCUAGGCUUGUAAGUUUCUUUCUUGCUAUUCCAAACGGUGAGAGAUUUCUGUGCUUUUGUUAUAGGACAAUUAAAACCGUUUCAAUACAACACACUGUGGAGUUUUCAUAUCUUUGCAACUUUUUCUUUGGGCAUUCGAGCAAUCGGGGCCCAGAGGUAACAAACACAAACAAUUUUAUUUAUUCAUUAAAUUUUUGUCAAAAACAAGAAUUUUCGUAACUGGAAAUUUUAAAAUAUUAAAAACUUUCAACAACGGAUCUCUUGGUUCUCGCAUCGAUGAAGAACGCAGCGAAAUGCGAUACGUAAUGUGAAUUGCAGAAUUCCGUGAAUCAUCGAAUCUUUGAACGCACAUUGCGCCCCUUGGUAUUCCAGGGGGCAUGCCUGUUUGAGCGUCAUUUCCUUCUCAAACAUUCUGUUUGGUAGUGAGUGAUACUCUUUGGAGUUAACUUGAAAUUGCUGGCCUUUUCAUUGGAUGUUUUUUUUCCCAAAGAGAGGUUUCUCUGCGUGCUUGAGGUAUAAUGCAAGUACGGUCGUUUUAGGUUUUACCAACUGCGGCUAAUCUUUUUUAUACUGAGCGUAUUGGAACGUUAUCGAUAAGAAGAGAGCGUCUAGGCGAACAAUGUUCUUAAAGUUUGACCUCAAAUCAGGUAGGAGUACCCGCUGAACUUAAGC